rnacentral:rRNA from 1 species
AACGAACGCUGGCGGCAUGCCUAACACAUGCAAGUCGAACGAGAUCUUCGGGUCUAGUGGCGCACGGGUGCGUAACGCAUGGGAAUCUGCCCUUUGGUUCGGAAUAACAGUUGGGAACGACUGCUAAUACCGGAUGAUGACGAAAGUCCAAAGAUUUAUCGCCAGAGGAUGAGCCCGCGUAGGAUUAGCUAGUUGGUGUGGUAAAGGCGCACCAAGGCGACGAUCCUUAGCUGGUCUGAGAGGAUGAUCAGCCACACUGGGACUGAGACACGGCCCAGACUCCUACGGGAGGCAGCAGUGGGGAAUAUUGGACAAUGGGCGAAAGCCUGAUCCAGCAAUGCCGCGUGAGUGAUGAAGGCCUUAGGGUUGUAAAGCUCUUUUACCCGGGAUGAUAAUGACAGUACCGGGAGAAUAAGCUCCGGCUAACUCCGUGCCAGCCGCCGCAGUAA